rnacentral:rRNA from 1 species
CCUACGGGGGGCAGCAGUUAGGAAUUUUGCGCAAUGGGGGAAACCCUGACGCAGCAACGCCGCGUGAGUGAAGAAGGCCCUUGGGUCGUAAAGCUCUUUCAGUAGGGAAGAAGUUGACGGUACCUACAGAAGAAGCACCGGCUAACUCCGUGCCAGCAGCCGCGGUAAUACGGAGGGUGCAAGCGUUAUUCGGAAUGACUGGGCGUAAAGCGCACGUAGGCGGCUUAUUAAGUCUGAUGUGAAAGCCCCGAACUCAAUUUGGGAAGUGCAUUGGAUACUGGUAGGCUAGAGUAUAGGAGAGGAGAGCGGAAUUCCAGGUGUAGAGGUGAAAUUCGUAGAUAUCUGGAGGAACAACGGAGGCGAAGGCGGCUCUCUGGACUAUUACUGACGCUGAGGUGCGAAAGCGUGGGGAGCGAACAGGAUUAGAUACCCGAGUAGUC